rnacentral:rRNA from 1 species
AUUGAACGCUGGCGGCAGGCCUAACACAUGCAAGUCGAACGGUAACAGGCAGCAGCUUGCUGCUUUGCUGACGAGGGGCGGACGGGUGAGUAGUGUCUGGGAAACUGUCCGCUGGAGGGGGAUAACUACUGGAAACGGUAGCUAAUACCGCAUAACGUCGCAAGCCCAAUGAGGGGGGGCUUAUGGCCUCUUGCCAUCGGGUGUGCCCGGAUGGGCGUAGCUAGUGUGUGGGGUAACGGCUCACCUAGGCGACGAGCUCUAUAUGGUGUGAGAGAAUGAGCAGCCACACUGGAAGUGAACCAGCGUCAAUGGUACUACGGGAGGGAGCAGUGGGGUAUAUUGGACAACAGGCGGAAGCAUUAUGCAGCCAGGCCGCGUGUAUGAAGAAGGCCUUCGGGUUGUAAAGUACGUUCAGCGGUGAUGAAGGGAGUAAGGCUAAGACCUUGGCUCAUUGACGGUAACCGGAGAAGAAGCACCGGCUAACUCCGUG